GCAAGGCUGAAACUAAAGGAAUGGCGGGGAGCACCACAACGGGUGGAGCUGCGGUUUAAUUGGACUCAACGCCGGGCAGCUCACCGGAUAGGACAGCGGAAUGAUAGCCGGGCUGAAGACCUUGCUUGACCAGCUGAGAGGAGGUGCAUGGCCGUCGUCAGUUCGUACUGUGAAGCAUCCUGUUUAGUCAGGCAACGAGCGAGACCCACGCCAACAGUUGCUAGCAUGUUCUCCGGAAUGAUGAGGAAAAUGUUGGGACCGCCUCUGCUGUGGGUGGGGGGGGAAUGGGCAACGGUAGGUCAGCAUGCCCCGAAUUAUCCGGGCUACACGCGGGCUACAAUGGUAAGGAAAAAGGGAAACGGCACUGAAAAGUGUAGUCAAUCUCCUAAACCUGUCCCAAGUUCGGAUUGUGGGCUGCAACUCGCCCACAUGAAGCUGGAAUCCGUAGUAAUCGCGUUUCAAAAUAGCGCGGUGAAUAAGUCCCUG
rnacentral:rRNA from 1 species